GCGGCCAUGAGUUCGACAUGACUCUACUUCCUACAGGAACCAUGACAGAUGGUAAAGGGAGAUGAUAUGAAAAUCACACUUAGGAAGAGAAGGUGUUUUCAAAGGGGGGUGGUCUGCACUCAUUGCUGGCCAUAACAUCCUAUGAGUGUGGAGCAUUGACGAUAGGUGAGCACAUGCAUUGUUGUCCUGAAAGAAAAAAUGUCGAACCACCUGCCUUGUAAACGGGACACACAAACGAUGUCAGUAUGUCAUCCCGCUAGACGUAUCUAGCGACCCUUCCUUGCACAAUAUGGAGUCUCGUUCUAUCGCCGUGACGUUAUCCAAAACCAUACAAGAUCCACCUCCGAAUCCGUAAUGAAGUUGACGUUGGCUUGACGCUCUUUGCUGCCCUUUUCACUACAUCCCAUGUGUACACAAAGAAAAUAUGAACGGUUUCUUUCGAAAUGACUACUACCACAUGGUCUAGCAGAUGUUGACAGAGGAGAGACUGUCCUGUGCUGAAGUUACGUAAACCUUCUCGAGAUGAAGACACAAGGUUCCAACACCAUCACUGAUGGAUCUGCCAAAGUUUCUAUAACUGUCAUAAAGGUAUUAUAUCUAACACGCCAGGAAGCUGUUUGAUAAAGUUUUAUUGUAAAAGUUUUAAUGUUUUUAAAUAUAAAAUGUUUCUUCUGCCAUAGUGGCAGUGAAGAACCUCGCAACACAUUUUGAAAAUUCUCACAAGUUAUCACACAUGCUAUUCUCUGCUCCCUGAGCAAACAUGUCUUGUUUUCAUCAACCUUCAUUGAAACGUGUGUCUGAAGGAACAAACAGUUACCUAUGUGUUAUCAUAUUUUGACAGCGACGUGUAUGGGUGCAUUUAUCUUUGAUAUCCGGAGUUACAACAAUAUAUAUAUGAACAAGUCAAGCAUUAAGCCAUUGCAGAACCUCACGACAUACAGUGUAGAGUCGUCCCACGCACCAACACUGUUAUUGUUUUUGUGUCAGGCUGGCAGAUAAUAAAUGAAAAUUAGUUGCAGUUGCAGAUUGCAAGCUGAAAGAGGAUAUACGUUUUUCUGAUAUUUGAAUUGAACAAUAAACUAAGAUCGUAAAGGUCUAAGACCUGCGCCCAUUCUAACAGUAUUCACUUACAUAUACAUCACACCCAGCCAGCAGUAUACACAUGUAAGAAGAUAGCCUGUGACACCUGUUCUUGACUUUUACCACGUUGGUAGCCUCAAGACUCCAAAGUCUGGACGAAUGAAACAUUAAGUAGCGCAUAAAGCAGGUCAAGAGUUUUGCUGGUAGUUUAAAUUGAAAUUGUUGUUGUUAUUGCAACUGACAGAACAUUUGUCCAGAAUGUCCAGGUGUGAGGAAAAUGUUCACAGGUUUGCAUAAGGUUCCCGUUUUAACUGUGUCUCCAUUGACGCUUCUUUUCCAAAUAGUUGCGAACUGAUGAUAAACAAGAUUUCAGUGUGUUGAAUCACCACGUCCUUAAAGUGGUUCGUGGUGUUUGUACAACUACUUAGUACAAUAACGAUGUGGUAACAUUGCGUUCUAUGAGGAUUUACUGAUCAAUUUCCAGAUCUUCUAUCGGUGCAGAAGUGUUCUCACGGUGCUUAAAACUGUCUCAGUUGGCUGAUGUUCUUAUAAACUUAUGCUUCAGUCUAAUCUCACGAGAAGCGGUAAAUCCAUGUACAUAGUUGUCUUGCCAAGGCUUGUACGGACCUGAUGCUGGCGGGUUCGAUGACAAAACCUACAUAAUACAGCGAGGAUCACAUUUCCAAAGUAGGAUCCACUAAACGGUUCACUGUUAUUUCAAAAUAUUUGACAGUCAUUUUCCUCAUAGGAAAGUGUUAUUCUCCUGGUCAUAAAUACAAAUAGUUGAUAGGAAAUAUAUGUCAACACUGCUGAUUGACGUGGAACUAGGCAGAUUGGUUAGCUAUACAUCAUGAUAGCUUCGAGCGUCUCCCAGGCAUGAUAAUGAGUGGAAAUGGGAUUACUGAUAUUGUCUUGACAACUAAUCUCAUAAGUCACAUGUCGUCAGUGACCCUUUAUACUGAUGUGGAGAAUUAUAAUGCACACAGAUUCUGUUAUGGCGAACACUUCCCAUUCAUGACAAGGAAUGGCAAACACUCGUUGGAAUUUCUGGCCAACUAAUCAAGUAAGUUAUAUAUCCUAUCAAAUACACGUGAUACUAGUGUAUAUAUUUUUCAGUAUGGAAAUAGAAGUGACAAAACCCUUUCUACAUCCAUAAGAAAUAUUUGCUAGAAUCAAAGUAAUAUAUUUGUUGCUGAAUAAAGCAGUACGAUGACGGAGCAUGUGCUUAUAACUAUCGAAAAGUGAUGAUACCAGGUAUUCGCGAAAAGAUGAGUGUCCUGCCCCACCGAUGGCACCCGUCAUCAACAUAUGCAAAGUCUAAUCAAUUGUCACCAGGAAGUUUCGGGAAAGUAUCGUAGAAGUCAAAAUAGGGCAUUCCUUUGUUUUGUCACUGAUGCAUCAAAUUUGGAAAUACCAUCCACUUGUCUGACAUAAAACCUUUUGAAAGCUUUACUGAGGCCUUGAACUCUAUAACCUUGGUCGAACAAUUUCUGAUCUUCUUGAAAUCUUGGCAAAACACUAUGCUCGUUUGUACUUCAGAAGUUGCGAACAGAAUUGUAAACACCAACGGCUGGAACUGUUGGAAUAUUGCUCGACAUGAAAGGAAAGGUGGCUAUCCGAAAGUUGAAGUCACCCCCUUUGUCAUACAGCCAAGUGGAGAGUUUCUGUGUGACUCUUAAUCUUUAUACAUAGAUCAAAAUAUGAAACAGCUGAGGCGGUCUCACUUGUCUCCUUAAUUUCAAGUUUAGGUGGAUACAUCAGUGGAAGGGGAUUUGCUAUUUGAUGGUUAUUGAACGACAUCAGAUCAUCGAUAUACCUGAAGCAAUUUCUUUGCUGUUUCUUGAGUCACAGCACAUCACGAUCAGUACAAAACGGACAUACUUGGUAAUGGCAGCGGUCAGUCUGUUACACGUUUUUUUCCCAUGUUGUCAUUCCUGUUGUGGAUUUCUCAGACUGGAAGUGAUAUAAGGAACAUGUCCACCAAUUACAACAGGCGUGAUGAUGACACAUUGAGUCUUCAUUUCAUGUACAGAAGUUGGACAAUUCGCUGAGCAAUUCACCAAGCAGCGUAAAUGUGCCCUACUUACAUUUCUUAUAUUUGUUCGGAGGAUGUAGAUGCAAGAAGGACACUGUGUCAGAAGACAGCCGAGGACAAGUAUCAUUGUGACACACGUAUGUGUCAUGGACACGUAGUAACAGGCGCAAGACAGAGGUUAAAGUAAACUGAAAUUAAUGUCAGAUGUACGUAACUCUGAUCACCAUCUGUCGAUCUCACCUGGCUUCGUGGAUUCCAUACACGAAUUAAUACUUCCACGUGUUUUAGCCGAUGUUGACAGA